CAAAACAAUACCUCAAAUCCAAACAUGGAGAAAGCAAUUAGCAUGGUGAUAGUAGUUCUCAAGAAGUUUAAGGAUAUGGUAAUGUAUUGUCUGAAGAAGUUUAAGGAUAUAGUAAUGUGUUGUCUCACUAGUACGUGUUUUUUGCAAGAUGCCGUGUUAGAAUUUAUAAUCCCUGUGGAAAUUCGAUAUCAUUGCAUUCCAAAUAUAGACAAGAGUGAAAUGCUUACUUACAGUCUUAUCGCACCGAUUAUUGGUUGCACUUUUCUUUUCAGAUUUUUAAGGUUGUGGUUUUUUGGAGUUAUUCCACAAAGGAAUAGACGUUAUCAUUGGCAACGGUAUUGGUUAUUUGGUCUCGAACUAAUUUUCCCAGAACCCUUUCCCCCCAUUUCUUCGCCGGGAAGCCAAGUGAUCCCGAAGCAGCAUAGUUCUAAAAAGAACAUUAAUUUGGAUGAUGUGAAUUCAUUUGGUGAGAAAGAAAUUGUGGGUGAAAGUAGUUUGAUUGUUACUUUGGAUAAUCCUGGAAAUAAUAAUUCAGUGACAGUUAUAGAAUUGGCUGUUUG
rnacentral:lncRNA from 1 species